rnacentral:tRNA from 1 species
GCCUUCGUGGUAUAGUGGUCAGCACGCUUGACGCGUAUUCGAGAGGCCCGGGGUUCGAGUCCCGGUGAGAGCA